AUACUUACCUGGCAGGGGAGAUACCAUGAUCACGAAGGUGGUUUUCCCAGGGCGAGGCUUAUCCAUUGCACUCCGGAUGUGCUGACCCCUGCGAUUUCCCCAAAUGUGGGAAACUCGACUGCAUAAUUUGUGGUAGUGGGGGACUGCGUUCGCGCUCUCCCCUG
ensembl:snRNA U1 U1 spliceosomal RNA